rnacentral:RNase_P_RNA from 1 species
GCGAGCGGCUGGGCGGGCCACGGGGCGCUCCCGAGGAAGUUCCUCCCCCCAACCGGCGCAGCCAGCCACCGCGAGGUGGGCGGGGAGACCCGCGGCAACGCCACAGAAACGAGACCCCUCCACCACAGAUGAGCGUGAACCGCCAACACCCCCAAGGCGGCGACGAGCGGUGGAGAAUGGAUGAAACGGGCGACCCUGGCGGGGAAAGGCACGCAGGGCCUUUGAGAGGCGUCGGCGAGGCCCAAGCGAAGACCCGAGAAGACCAAUCCCGCCUAAAACGGAAGGAGGACUAUGGGCCGCACGC